UACAGAGGUCUCAAGCGUUGUUCGGAUUCAUUGGGCGUAAAGGGUGCGUAGGUGGCAUGGUAAGUCGGAUGUGAAAUCCCGGGGCUCAACCCCGGAACUGCAUUCGAUACUGCUGCGCUAGAGUACUGGAGAGGAGAUUGGAAUUUACGGUGUAGCAAUGAAAUGCGUAGAUAUCGUAAGGAAGACCAGUGGCGAAGGCGGAUCUCUGGACAGUUACUGACACUGAGGCACGAAGGCCAGGGGAGCAAACGGG
rnacentral:rRNA from 1 species